UGGGGAAUAUUGGACAAUGGGCGCAAGCCUGAUCCAGCCAUGCCGCGUGAGUGAUGAAGGCCCUAGGGUUGUAAAGCUCUUUUACCCGCGAAGAUAAUGACGGUAGCGGGAGAAUAAGCUCCGGCUAACUCCGUGCCAGCAGCCGCGGUAAUACGGAGGGAGCUAGCGUUGUUCGGAAUUACUGGGCGUAAAGCGCGCGUAGGCGGCCAUUCAAGUCAGAGGUGAAAGCCCGGGGCUCAACUCCGGAACUGCCUUUGAAACUAGAUGGCUAGAAUCCAGGAGAGGUGAGUGGAAUUCCGAGUGUAGAGGUGAAAUUCGUAGAUAUUCGGAAGAACACCAGUGGCGAAGGCGACUCACUGGACUGGUAUUGACGCUGAGGUGCGAAAGCGUGGGGAGCAAACAGGAUUAGAUACCCCCGUAGUCC
rnacentral:rRNA from 1 species